rnacentral:rRNA from 1 species
UACGAAGGGGGCUAGCGUUGCUCGGAAUCACUGGGCGUAAAGGGUGCGUAGGCGGGUUUUUAAGUCAGGGGUGAAAUCCUGGAGCUCAACUCCAGAACUGCCUUUGAUACUGAAGAUCUUGAGUCCGGGAGAGGUGAGUGGAACUGCGAGUGUAGAGGUGAAAUUCGUAGAUAUUCGCAAGAACACCAGUGGCGAAGGCGGCUCACUGGCCCCGGUACUGACGCUGAGGCACGGAAAGCGUGGGGAGCAAACAGG